rnacentral:rRNA from 1 species
GACAGAGGCCACAAGCGUUAGGCGGAAUCACUGGGCUUAAAGCGCGUGUAGGCGGAUGCCUAAGUGCCUUGUGAAAUCCCACGGCUUAACCGUGGAACUGCUGGGCAUACUGGGUGUCUUGAGGUGUCUAGGGGUCGCUGGAACAAACGGUGGAGCGGUGAAAUGCGUAGAUAUCAGGAAGAACACCCGUGGCUAAGGCGGUUCUCUAGUACGGUACUGACGCUGAGACGCGAAAGCGUGGGGAGCGAACAGG